rnacentral:tRNA from 1 species
GGGGCUCUAGCUCAGUGGUAGAGCACUGCCUGGCCUGCAGGAGGCCCUGGGUUCGAUCCCCAGCACCCCA